ACAGAGGUCUCGAGCGUUGUUCGGAUUCAUUGGGCGUAAAGGGUGCGCAGGCGGUUGGGUGUGUCAGAUGUGAAAUCCCGAGGCUUAACCUCGGAACUGCGUCUGAAACUACUCGACUAGAGUACUGGAGAGGGUAACGGAAUUCACGGUGUAGCAGUGAAAUGCGUAGAUAUCGUGAGGAACACCGGAGGCGAAGGCGGUUACCUGGACAGUUACUGACGCUCAGGCACGAAAGCAUGGGGAGCAAAAGGGA
rnacentral:rRNA from 1 species